rnacentral:rRNA from 1 species
GCGUGCCUAAUACAUGCAAGUCGAGCGAACAGAUAAGGAGCUUGCUCCUUUGACGUUAGCGGCGGACGGGUGAGUAACACGUGGGUAACCUACCUAUAAGACUGGGAUAACUUCGGGAAACCGGAGCUAAUACCGGAUAACAUUUGGAACCGCAUGGUUCUAAAGUGAAAGAUGGUUUUGCUAUCACUUAUAGAUGGACCCGCGCCGUAUUAGCUAGUUGGUAAGGUAACGGCUUACCAAGGCGACGAUACGUAGCCGACCUGAGAGGGUGAUCGGCCACACUGGAACUGAGACACGGUCCAGACUCCUACGGGAGGCAGCAGUAGGGAAUCUUCCGCAAUGGGCGAAAGCCUGACGGAGCAACGCCGCGUGAGUGAUGAAGGGUUUCGGCUCGUAAAACUCUGUUAUUAGGGAAGAACAAAUGUGUAAGUAACUGUGCACGUCUUGACGGUACCUAAUCAGAAAGCCACGGCUAACUACGUGCCAGCAGCCGCGGUAAUACGUAGGUGGCAAGCGUUAUCCGGAAUUAUUGGGCGUAAAGCGCGCGUAGGCGGUUUCUUAAGUCUGAUGUGAAAGCCCACGGCUCAACCGUGGAGGGUCAUUGGAAACUGGGAAACUUGAGUGCAGAAGAGGAAAGUGGAAUUCCAUGUGUAGCGGUGAAAUGCGCAGAGAUAUGGAGGAACACCAGUGGCGAAGGCGACUUUCUGGUCUGUAACUGACGCUGAUGUGCGAAAGCGUGGGGAUCACACAGGAUUAGAUACCCUGGUAGUCCACGCCGUAAACGAUGAGUGCUAAGUGUUAGGGGGUUUCCGCCCCUUAGUGCUGCAGCUAACGCAUUAAGCACUCCGCCUGGGGAGUACGACCGCAAGGUUGAAACUCAAAGGGAAUUGACGGGGACCCGCACAAGCGGUGGAGCAUGUGGUUUAAUUUCGAAGC